rnacentral:rRNA from 1 species
UACGGGGGGGGCAAGCGUUGUUCGGAAUUACUGGGCGUAAAGGGCUCGUAGGCGGCCAACUAAGUCAGACGUGAAAUCCCUCGGCUUAACCGGGGAACUGCGUCUGAUACUGGAUGGCUUGAGGUUGGGAGAGGGAUGCGGAAUUCCAGGUGUAGCGGUGAAAUGCGUAGAUAUCAGGAGGAACACCGGUGGCGAAGGCGGUUCUCUGGGCAUUACCUGACGCUGAGGAGCGAAAGCGUGGGAGCAAACAGG